rnacentral:tRNA from 1 species
AAGGCUAACUUCAAGGCUGCUAACCUUAAAAUAAUGUAUUCAUUUGGCCUUU